rnacentral:rRNA from 1 species
GAUGAACGCUAGCGGCAGGCCUAACACAUGCAAGUCGAGGGGUAGAAUUAGCUUGCUAAUUUGAGACCGGCGCACGGGUGCGUAACGCGUAUGCAAUCUACCUUGUACAGGGGGAUAGCCCAGAGAAAUUUGGAUUAAUACCCCAUGGUAUAAUUAAUUUGCAUGAAUUGAUUAUUAAAGUUCCAACGGUACAAGAUGAGCAUGCGUCCCAUUAGCUAGUUGGUGUGGUAACGGCAUACCAAGGCGACGAUGGGUAGGGGUCCUGAGAGGGAGAUCCCCCACACUGGUACUGAGACACGGACCAGACUCCUACGGGAGGCAGCAGUGAGGAAUAUUGGUCAAUGGUCGGAAGACUGAACCAGCCAUGCCGCGUGCAGGAAGAAGCAUCUAUGGUGUGUAAACUGCUUUUCCACGGGAAGAACCCUCCGACGUGUCGGAGACUGACGGUACCGUGGGAAUAAGCAUCGGCUAACUCCGUG